GGCGACGUGGCCGAGUGGCCAGGCAAGGGUCUGCAAAACCCUCUACCCGGGUUCGAUUCCCGGCGUCGCCU
rnacentral:tRNA from 1 species